GACGAACGCUGGCGGCGCGCUUAACACAUGCAAGUCGAGCGAUGAAAUUUUGACAGAUCCCUUCGGGGUGAAGACAAAAUGGAUUAGCGGCGGACGGGUGAGUAACACGUGAGUAACCUGCCUUAGACAUUGGGAUAGCCUCGGGAAACCGGGAUUAAUACCGAAUAAAAUCAUAGGUGCACAUGCACUAAUGAUCAAAACUCCGGUGGUCUAAGAUGGACUCGCGUCCCAUUAGCUAGUUGGUAGGGUAACGGCCUACCAAGGCGACGAUGGGUAGCCGGCCUGAGAGGGUGAACGGCCACAUUGGAACUGAGAAACGGUCCAAACUCCUACGGGAGGCAGCAGUGGGGAAUCUUGCACAAUGGGGGCAACCCUGAUGCAGCGACGCCGCGUGAGCGAUGAAGGUUUUCGAAUCGUAAAGCUCUGUCCUAUGGGAAGAUAAUGACGGUACCAUGGGAGGAAGCCCCGGCUAACUACGUGCCAGCAGCCGCGGUAAUACGUAGGGGGCGAGCGUUGUCCGGAAUUACUGGGCGUAAAGGGUUCGCAGGCGGCAUGGCAAGUCCGAUGUAAAAGGCGAAGGCUCAACCUUCGUAAGCAUCGGAAACUGUCAAGCUUGAGUGAAGGAGAGGCAAGUGGAAUUCCUAGUGUAGCGGUGGAAUGCGUAGAUAUUAGGAGGAAUACCGGUGGCGAAGGCGACUUGCUGGACUUCAACUGACGCUGAGGAACGAAAGCGUGGGUAGCAAACAGGAUUAGAUACCCUGGUAGUCCACGCCGUAAACGAUGAGUGCUAGGUGUCGGGGGUCAAACCUCGGUGCCGCCGUUAACACAAUAAGCACUCCGCCUGGGGAGUACGUGCGCAAGCAUGAAACUCAAAGGAAUUGACGGGGACCCGCACAAGCAGCGGAGCAUGUGGUUUAAUUCGAAGCAACGCGAAGAACCUUACCAGGACUUGAAAUACUAGCGCCCGCUUUAGAGAUAAAGUUUUUUCUUCGGAAACGCUAAUACAGGUGGUGCAUGGUUGUCGUCAGCUCGUGUCGUGAGAUGUUGGGUUAAGUCCCGCAACGAGCGCAACCCCUAUACUUAGUUACCAGCGGGUAAUGCCGGGGACUCUAAGUAGACUGCCGAUGACAAAUCGGAGGAAGGUGGGGAUGACGUCAAGUCAUCAUGCCCUUUAUGUCCUGGGCUACACACGUGCUACAAUGGUUGGUACAGAGGGAAGCUAUAUAGUGAUAUAAUGCAAAACUCCAAAGCCAAUCCCAGUUCGGAUUGUAGGCUGCAACUCGCCUACAUGAAGUCGGAGUUGCUAGUAAUCGCGGAUCAGAAUGUCGCGGUGAAUGCGUUCCCGGGUCU
rnacentral:rRNA from 1 species